GUCAGUCUCUCAGCUUGUACCAAAAACAGACAAGGAAAAUUGGCGAAGGAAAAGGCAGCAGGGCUGAUAGAAAAUGCAGGGAAGACUACUUGUAGUUAGAAAUUUGGCAAUAAAGAGGCCAGAGCUGCUGUGGCGUCUUAUGACAACAAUCAAAUCUCCCAACCGGGCUGCUGUUCACGGACACAGGCCGCCUAUCCCUCGCGUCGUCGACGAGGAGGAAGUGGAGAAAGUGAUAGAGAAAGGGAAAGAGGAGAAAGAGAAGAAGAGGCAAGAGGUGGAGAAGGUUGUGGACUCUCAACUCAAGCGCUCUGAUAUUGACACCUGUCCUCCUGAAAGUGCUACUUAGUUUACCAUCAGAAUCAUGUUCAUCGCGUCAUGUUGUAUGUUGUAUGGAUCUAAAGCUGUAAUUUAAUGAUGCUAAUGAACUUGUAUGGAUCUAAAGCUGUAAUUUAAUGAUGCUAAUGAACUUGUUGUCAAAAUGAUUUCAACACUGAUACAAAUAAUGCCAAGAUUAGUUCACGUGCA